rnacentral:rRNA from 1 species
ACUCCUACGGGAGGCAGCAGUAGGGAAUCUUCCACAAUGGACGAAAGUCUGAUGGAGCAACGCCGCGUGAGUGAUGAAGGUUUUCGGAUCGUAAAACUCUGUUGUAAGGGAAGAACAAGUACGAGAGGUAAUGCUCGUACCUUGACGGUACCUUGCGAGAAAGCCACGGCUAACUACGUGCCAGCAGCCGCGGUAAU